rnacentral:rRNA from 1 species
GAUGAACGCUGGCGUCGUGCCUAAUACAUUCAAGUCGAGCUACCAGACGAGGCGCUUUCUCCUCUGACGUUAGCGGCGGACGGGUGAGUAACACGUGGAUAACCUACCUAUAAGACUGGGAUAACUUCUGGAAACCGGAGCUAAUACCGUGUAAUAUAUUGAACCGCAUGGUUCAUUAGUGAAAUACGGUUUUGCUGUUACUUAUAGCUGGAUCCGCUCCGCAUUAGCUAUUUGGUAAGGUAACGGCUUACCAAGUCAACGAUGCGUAGCCGACCUGAGAGGGCGAUCGGCCACAAUGGAACUGAGACACGGCCCAGACUCCUACGGGAGGCAGCAGUAGGGAAUCUUCCGCAAUGGGCGAAAGCCUGACGGAGCAACGCCGCGUGAGUGAUGAAGGUCUUCGGAUCGUAAAACUCUGUUAUUAGGGAAGAACAAAUGUGUAAGUAACUAUGCACGUCUUGACGGUACCUAAUCAGAAAGCCACGGCUAACUACGUG